rnacentral:rRNA from 1 species
GUGGGGGAUAUUGCGCAAUGGGGGCAACCCUGACGCAGCAACGCCGCGUGAAGGAUGAAGGUUUUCGGAUUGUAAACUUCUUUUAUUAAGGACGAAAAAUGACGGUACUUAAUGAAUAAGCUCCGGCUAACUACGUGCCAGCAGCCGCGGUAAUACGUAGGGAGCAAGCGUUGUCCGGAUUUACUGGGUGUAAAGGGUGCGUAGGCGGCUUUGCAAGUCAGAUGUGAAAUCUAUGGGCUCAACCCAUAAACUGCAUUUGAAACUGUAGAGCUUGAGUGAAGUAGAGGCAGGCGGAAUUCCCCGUGUAGCGGUGAAAUGCGUAGAGAUGGGGAGGAACACCAGUGGCGAAGGCGGCCUGCUGGGCUUUAACUGACGCUGAGGCACGAAAGCGUGGGUAGCAAACAGGAUUAGAUACCCCGGUAGUCC